rnacentral:miRNA from 1 species
UGUGGUAUUGAGAAUUAAAUUU